AUUGAACGCUGGCGGCAUGCCUAACACAUGCAAGUCUAACGGUAACGCGGGGGCAACCCUGGCGACGAGUGGCGGACGGGUGAGUAAUACGUAGGAAUCUGCCCAUUUGUGGGGGAUAACCCGGCGAAAGCCGGGCUAAUACCGCAUACGCUCUACGGAGGAAAGCGGGGGAUCGUAAGACCUCGCGCUAAUGGAUGAGCCUACGUCGGAUUAGCUAGUUGGUAGGGUAACGGCCUACCAAGGCGACGAUCCGUAGCUGGUCUGAGAGGACGAUCAGCCACACUGGGACUGAGACACGGCCCAGACUCCUACGGGAGGCAGCAGUGGGGAAUAUUGGACAAUGGGGGCAACCCUGAUCCAGCAAUGCCGCGUGUGUGAAGAAGGCCUGCGGGUUGUAAAGCACUUUCAGAGGGGAAGAAAAAAUACGGGGCGUAACAACCUCCGGUCUUGACGUUACCCUUACGAAGAAGCACCGGCUAACUCCGUGCCAGCAGCCGCGGUAAUACCGAGGGUGCAAGCGUUAAUAC
rnacentral:rRNA from 1 species